rnacentral:rRNA from 1 species
GACGAACGCUGGCGGCGUGCUUAACACAUGCAAGUCGAACGGUAAGGCCCUUCGGGGUACACGAGUGGCGAACGGGUGAGUAACACGUGGGUGAUCUGCCCUGCACUUCGGGAUAAGCCUGGGAAACUGGGUCUAAUACCGGAUAGGACCACUGCCUGCAUGGGUGGUGGUGGAAAGCCUUUGCGGUGUGUGAUGGGCCCGCGGCCUAUCAGCUUGUUGGUGGGGUGAUGGCCUACCAAGGCGACGACGGGUGGCCGGCCUGAGAGGGUGACCGGCCAGACUGGGACUGAGAUACGGCGCAGACGCGUACGGGAGGCAGCAGUGGGGAAUAUUGCACAAUGGGCGCAAGCCUGAUGCAGCGACGCCGCGUGAGGGAUGACGGCCUUCGGGUUGUAAACCUCUUUCAGCACCGACGAAGCGCAAGUGACGGUAGGUGCAGAAGAAGGACCGGCCAACUACGUGCCAGCCGCCGCAGUAA